CAUUUAUAAAUGUUUAAAAAUUAUUUAUAGAAAUUUAUAAACUAAACCUCCCCUAAAUACUAAACUAUAAAAAAUAAUAAAUAAAAAAUAAAUUCAAAUGUUAUAGUAUUUUUGAUUGAGUUUAUUUUUGAAAAGUAGUAUCCAAUUUAGUAUAAUUUAAACAAGUUGUCAUGAUUUUUGCCUUAAAAACUAAUACAGAUCAUAAAGAAAAUAUAAUUUUGUAUUCUUCAGAUAUUUUCAAUCGAUAUAUUUAAUACUCAACUAUUAGUGCACAUAUUUAUGCUUUUAGGUUUCGAAUGGUGACCAUCGUCCCGCCCCACUCCGCAGUUAACAGUAAUAAAAAUCUUUACAUAUACUAUAUAUCUGUACAUUUUUAUAACUGUUAGGACCGCACCGCAGUUAAACUGCUUGUCCCGCACCGCUCAAACCGCAGUAACCAUUCGGAGCCUUAAACUAGCUGCUGACUCCCUCUGUAAUAUAAGAUUUAAUUAAUCAACGGCUAAAAAUGGACAGAAAUUGUCAGUUUCUUUCUUUCAUUAGCGGUUGAUUUUUUAUGUUCUAAGCAAUGUUUUUAAACCCGACCCGGACACUGAACCGGACGACUUACCGGGUCGCUGGGUCAUUGGGUCGACCGUGGGUGAACCGCGGGUUAAUAAAUGAAUUAAUUUUAUUAUAUAAUAAUAAAUUAGCUAUGAAAAUAAAUAUAUAAAAACUAAAGUUUAAUAGUUUCUAAAUGUUUUUUAAAACAUAAAAUAAUAGUUUGGAUAUAUAUAUACUUUAUGUUUAAAAAGUAUUUAAGAAAUACUUAACUUAAGUUUUUAUAUUUAUAUUUUUAUUAGACAUGAAAAAUAAAAUAAAAAAAGUUUAGACUAUUUAAAAUUUUCUGUAACAAAGUAAGAGUUAUGACAUCUAAAAAAAUUAAGAUAUAAAACGCACAAAUAUUUAAAUAUCUAAUUUAAAUAAUAAAUUAACUUCAAAUUCAAAAUAAACUAAAAGUAAAAGAUCAUUGUAAUAAAUUGUCAAUAAUAGAAAUAAAUUAACACCAAAUCACAUCAACUAAUUUAGUUUUUUUUUUAUCAUCGUCCACUUCAUUUUUUUAGGUGGCAUAGUGAAAAAUCUUCAUCAAAUCUAAAAAUUACAAAUAUAAAACUAAAAAAGGAAAACCUAACCUUUUUUUUUGUCAACAUCUAACUUUUUAAUUGAAAACUUACAAUAUAAAACAUAAUCUAAAAACUAAAAAAGAGUAAAAGUUGUUUAUUGGUUCAACCGGUAUCGGGUUUCGGGGUUUAAUGGGUUUUUGCGGGUUUUUACGGUUUUUUUGCGGAUUUUUAAAUAUUGGGUUUUUCAUAAAACCCAAACCGGAUUUUUUCUGGGUCACCGGGUUUACCGGUUCAACCGCGGGUCUGGGUCGGGUUUCAAAACACUGAAUAGAGCUAAAGAAAUAGAUGUGCUGAAGAUUUUAAGUCAUAUAACUUUGUUGUAAUUUGAAAUUAAAUUAAAAACUAUAAGGCGUUGUGAGUGUAAGCGGUAAGGUAAAAUGGAUAAGGCCAGUCUGGGUGGAAGUGCAAAUUUAUUAACUUGAAAUGUCUGAGCGGUGCAAAUUUAGAAAAUUUAAAGCAACACAACAUAAUCUAUGAAAGACUUGAAGUGCUAUGAAUUCGUUAAGCUUGGGAAAAAAAUAAAAAACUAAUGCAACGGACAUGUCCACAUGUCUUGCAACUUCAGCUCCCUUUGUUCUUCUAAAUACUUAUUGUGUUGUUUCUUUCCAGAGGACUCAGCUUCCUUCUCUUGUUAUCAUCGCUUCUGUUCCUAUAAAGACAAUGCUUUAAUUAGAUAACAACUUGCUUUUGAAAUCGACGAUAUCAGACGAACAAAAGAUCAUAGAAUGAGAGAACCACACAAAAAUCAAUUUCUAGAAUGAGAGUUCAGAAGCCUGAAGUUUUUUAAAAGUGACUCUUGGCUACCGAAAAAGUUUUGCAGAGAAGGUGAAAACUAGAAACAUCAAUCAAUUGAGUGGACUCUUGGAAAAGAAAACACUUCAGAAGACGUUUUACAGAGAGAAAACAGAAUCGAUUAAGCUGAAUAAAUUUGAAGUUGUUCAGAAUGUUAAUGUGUUGAUCAAAGGAAGCUACUCUAAUUUAAAACCAUAUACACACCACCAUGAUGGAUUUAAAAAUGAAGGAAACUACCCAGCAUUCUUCUGUUCCUAUUAACCAACUAAGGAUCAUCAUUCUUAGGAAAAUGCCUUGGUGUAGGCUCAGGAAAUAACAUAGCUUCAUAACUCUGAUAAUAGCAUGGCGACUAAUAGUAUUGAGGCAAACGAAAUCUCCAGUAAGUAAAGAGAAGUUCUUUGUAAAAAAAAUGUAAGUGGAUAUUGAUUACCUUCUUGGUCCUUUGUUCAAGCAUGCCUUUGAGACCAACUUCCACGAUGCUGACCAUCUAGCUUCUUGUCACUUUGAUCUUCACCUUCAACGUACCUGAGUCUCCUAAUAAUAAGUUAAGAAAAAAACAUUUCGUAUGAUUUCUUACUGAAGGUGUAUGACUUUCUGAAGAGGAACCAUGUUAGUCUUAGGGUACCUUAACAAUGGCGGAAGAAAUCCCCAUUUAGCAUGACGCUAAUCUUUUGCGUCAUUCCUCUCCACAAUCUGAUUACAUACAAAACCGCCUUCAAAAGGAGAAUUGGAACGGAGAUUUAAACUGAGAGUAACGAAGCCAUAAAUCUGGCUCUUAUGCGUUACAGGGGAAGCUAGGAGGAUAGUACAUAUUAAUUGGAGCCGAAGACGUUACGGUGAGCUUGACGGUGUGCUUACGGCUGCAACUCUGAAAAUAUCUAAGGGCAUGAGACAACUAAACUUAAUCUGUCUGGGCCUCUAAUCUCUAAAGCCCACCUAAACGCAAAGAACCAGCAAUCUCGGGAUUUUGUUUUGGGAUGCCACGUGGAGCAAUUUGCACACUUUUCUAUUUAUGAUGUCCUUUUAUUAGUAGAGAUCGGGCCAUUCAGAUUAACAUUUGGGCUAAAAAAAAAAACGAAGCCCAACUCUAUCAAAACCGUGUUGACGUGUUAAAAAGAACUCUUCUGAUUGGACAAUUUUCAUGUCCUACGUGGACAGUCUAAUUGAUGAUUAUAUUCCCUUUUUAUUACUUGUUUGAUUUUCUGUUUCAUAAUAAGUAUUACUUUACGUAUAUUUUUUAUUUUAAAAUCAUUCUACAAUUACAAUAUAAUUUUGUAUCUUAAAUUCAUUUUUACCUUUUUGGAUAACCAAUAAGCUUUUAUUUAUUUAAACUAUUUUCAUUUAAUUAAUCAUAUAUUAAAUAAUAACAUAUUAGUCUAUUAUACAAUUUUUUUAGUCUCCGUAAAAAAUGUCAAAAUCACACUUAAUAUGAAACAGAGAAAAUAUAAUUAAGUUUAAAUAGUUAUUAAAAAUUUGACCACUAAUAAAGUUACAUCUGUCUACAAAGUAUCUAAUCAAGUUUUUAGAGCAUCAUUAUGGCAUCUCUAACCCAAGUGCAUAAUUUACUGUAAAAUAGUGUGAAAAAUUCUAUCAUCAACAAACAAAAAAUCAUUACUCUAUAAAUGGAGUAAUUCGUUUUUUUUUUGUUAAUGACUGUAUUUUCUACUUCAUUUUACCGUAAAUUAUGCAGUUGGGUUGGAGAUGCUCUUAGUAGGAAAGUAUCUACCAAAGAGGAGUACUUGGCGUAUUAAUUAUGCUGAUGACCCUAUUUUCACGUUGAGGUGGAUUCUACCAACCGUUAGAAGUGAUCUACUCCUCCUUGAAAAUCAGGUUCCAUUUUUUGUUUUUCAAGAUAUCCUUAAGACGUCAAGGUUAUUUCCUUCAUCUAACCUAAACGAGAUGAUCUUUGCAUUCUUUAGCUACUCAAUAAGAAGGCCAAAAGAAUUUUGGGAAGAAAGAAAGAAUCUUGAUGCAAGCCAUCUUUUAGAUCUCAUCCGCAAAACUUUUAUACCUAAUCAAACGCAGCAAACAGAAGAAGAAAUAUACAACAAUAUAUUUUGUUGUUCAAGUGAAAACACAUGUUUCAGUAUAUUGAGUCGUCAUACCAAAAAGAAUGUUCAAGCGGAGAUACCAAGUCUGAUUGGCUCAGCUAAAAAACUUCAGCUCCGAGGACUACAAUUUAAGCAAAAAGGAAAAUUUGAGACACCUCUUGACAUAACUUUAAAGAGCGGUGUUCUUGAAAUACCAAAACUAACAUUUGAUGACUUUUUCACCUCUCUUUUGAUCAACUGUGUGGCCUUUGAGCAGUUUAGUAUGAGAUGCUCAACCGAAAUGACAAGCUAUGUUACUUUCAUGGGAUGCCUCAUAAACACUGAAGAGGAUGCAACGUUCUUAAGCGAGAAAGGGAUCAUAGAGAACUACUUUGGGACUGGAGAACAAGUAUCUUUGUUCUUCAAGAACACUGGCAAAAACGUUGCAUUUUCCAUAUCAAAGAGUUUUUUGUCAAAUGUGUUCGAGGGGGUGAACGAGCACACUUCAUAAGGAUGCCACGUACAAUGGGCAGGAUUCAAGUACACAUAUUUCAAAAGUCCGUGGGCAUGUCUAUCAUCUUGUGCUGCUUUGAUACUUCUUGCGCUUACCAUGUUCCAAGCUUUCUUCACAGCCUAUCCUUAUUUUCGUCCUCCCAAGUAAAAAGAGGACUUAAGGGAUUAUAUGGCUAGCUCUCGCUAGUGUCGCAGCUUGGGCUUCUUGUCCAAAAACUUACAUUUACAUUUUUCUUGUCGCUGUUUUCUAUUACCAACUAUGUAAUAAUGCAAACUUGAUUUCACUUCUUGACGUAACUUCUGUGGGAUCGCAACAUCAUACCCAAAAAACUUAACAUAUUUUUGUUCACAGUGCCAUUCCUCAUAUGUUUUUUUCCAUAAUUUCACUUUCACCAUUAUCACCAAUUAAGUUUUAUGAAAUCGAAUGUCGAGAUAAUAGGGUUUAUAUAUUAAUGCGAUAUAAUCGAAAAUUCUGGUGAGUUAGAAGAAUUCAAAAUUUCUUAUUAAACGUUCCAUCGGAUUUUAAUGAUUUAAGGAACAAUAAUCUGGAUUUUCUAUAAAAUUGGAGUGAAAGAGAAAGGAUAAUAAGGUGCGGAGAAAGAUAUAUAUACAAAUGGUGAAAUAAUAACUUUUAGUCAUUUGCAAUAUACUUUCAGUUUACAUAUGAUACGAAAUUACCAUCUGCUUUGGACUUAAUUAUUUGGCUCCAGCCUAUUGAAUAUGAAAACAGAGCAUUUUUCAGUAUAUUGUAUUUUGUAAAACAAAUUUGCAUCAUGCUUCGUGAAUUUUGUUAGACUAAUUGACUGGAUAUGAUAAUUGAUCCGGUGACAUAAUUGUAGUUUAUUUAUAAAAGUUGUCAUCACUUGCAAAGAAGAAAAGUCUUGGGUGAAAAGAUACUUUUGUUCCUUUGCCGACCUAAUGUGGAGACUUGUCAACAUUUUGCAAGUGUAAACUUCUCACCUCCUUCGUAAGGAUGUCUUCGUUUAAGUUUCUAAAAAAUAUUACAAAAAUUCGACGAAGGCUAAAUCAAGAAAAUAAAAUAUAUUUGAAGUCUUCCACCUAACCAGAAGACGAUCUAAGGUGGGUUUGAACUUUAAAGAUUUAGAUUAAUGGAUCCACAGACACAACAGAACGCCGCAGAAAACAGUCAUGAUCCCAUCCCGACAUCAGUCGUAGUAGACAUACAUAGCUUAACUUCAGAAGACACUGAUCCUAAGCUUCUGAGAGAAUCAGCUGGUUCAGAGUCAUGUUGCAUCUUGAGAAUCCCACACAGCCUCGCGCGGAUCAACCUCAAAGCAUACGAGCCCAAGAUUGUCUCCAUCGGUCCUUACCAACACGGAAAGGAACAUCUCAAAAUGGCCCAGCAGCAUAAACGCAGGUUCUUGAAGUUCUUGGUGGCUAAAAUGCAAGAAAAUGGAACUGAUCCUCAAGAAUUAGUCAAUGCUGUAUCCACUUUGGUAGGAGAUAUAAGAGGUUCUUACUCAGAGGAUCUUGGUUUGGUAUCUGAAGAGUUGGUUGAGAUGAUGGUUCUUGAUGGUUGCUUUAUCCUCACGUUGUUCUUAAUAGUUUCUGGCAAAGUUGUUUACACUAAUCUUGAUGAUCCCAUUUUCAGAAUGCCAUGGAUCUUGCCGUCCAUUCGAGCCGAUCUUCUCCUUCUAGAGAACCAGGUUCCUCAUGUUCUUCUUCAAGCGCUUUUCGAAACAUCGAAUUUAGUUACUUCUAGCUGUUUAAACGAGCUAGCGUUUGAGUUCUUCGACUACUCAUUACAAAAACCAGAAACGUUUUGGGAAAAGCAUUAUAGUCUCGAAGCUAAACAUCUUCUUGACUUGAUACGCAAGACAUUUGUCCCUGUUACUUGUCAAAGAAGCAUCAAAGAAGCUAAUGGUUUUCUUGGAUUCGUUUUAUCAGCCAAGAAGCUUCACUUUAGAGGAAUCAAAUUCAAACCAAGGAUGAACACAGAUUCAAUCUUAGACAUAAGGUUUAGUAACGGUGUGCUUCAUAUUCCUCCAGUAGUCAUGGAUGAUUUCACCGCCACGGUGUUCUUAAACUGUGUAGUCUUUGAGCAGUUAUAUGCAGAUUCAUCAAACCACAUAACGAGCUACGUAGCGUUCAUGGCUUGUCUUAUAAACGAAGAGAGUGAUGCAGCGUUUCUUAGCGAGAGAAGGAUUCUUGAGAACUAUUUUGGAACAGAGGAAGAAGUGUCUAGGUUUUAUAAAAGCAUUGGCAAAGAUGUUGCUUUGGACUUAGAGAGGAGUUACUUAGCGAAGGUGUUUGAAGGGGUUAAUGAGUAUAGUUCCAAAGGGUUCCAUGUUCAUUGUGCAGAGUUUGUUCACACGCAUUUUGAUAGUCCAUGGACAUUUGCAUCAUCGUUUGCAGCUUUGUUGCUUCUUAUGUUUGCGGCUUUACAGGUUUUCUUUGCAGCUUAUAGUUAUUUCAAACCUCCAAAAGAUAAGUGAGAGGUAAUUGUAAUUUACUUGUUAUGACUCUUUUGAGUCUAAUAAAUCCUUUGUUGUUUUCUUUAAUAUUUUUAUCUUAAUAGAGAGAUGGUUGCAUUGGUAACAUACGAACAUGUAAUUAAAUACACAACAGUUAUCUCUCAAACACUUUUUCUUCAUUUUGCCGUGGCUUUUGCGACUUCACGAAAAUCAAAGGUCUUCACUUUGUUGAAAUCAUUAGUCACUGGUGAAGAAGAGACACCUACAUAAAAACCUUCAGACUCGUACUCUUCCAUGUUACUGCUACCUACACGUGAGCUACAUUCUAUAAGGCGGUACACAGGUUCCUUGCAUGUCUCUGGUUUUUUCUUCUCCACGCUGUUAUUUGCAUCUUUUUCUCCAACCUUUGUCAAACCUUCUGCUUUCAGGGGUUUAAUGUCUUCUUUCUUGAUGUGUUUCUUCAUGAAACAUAUGACUUUGAAACAAUAAAGACAUCCUAUAGACAUUAUCUUUAUGAAGAGUGAAGUGGUAGAUGAAUGAAAGUUGAAACUUUUGUUUCAAACAAUAUGCUUGCGUGCAUUGAAGAUAUUUAGAGAGGAAGAGACGUGUUUCUUUUUGUUUGCUGAUUUUGAUUAAGCGUUUUUCUUGACUUCUUGAGAGCUACCUUAAGUUGACUCCACGCAGCUUCCACUUACUCCACCAAUCACUUGCUAGGAAAUUGCCCCAGUAAAAAUGAAAAAUAAACUCAUAGCAUACAAGCGCAGGCAAAGGUAAUUAAAUGGGAUGUGAAGCAGACAGAGCUACAGUUAUUUCCAACCUUCAAAAGGAAAGUGAGAGAUGCUUGUAAUUUACUUAUUCUGAUUCUUGUGAGUCUAAAUUUUUUCUUCUUUUUGCUGUUUUCUUAAAAAGAUUUACCGCUACGUUCUGCUUUCAGGGCUUUGUCUUUUUUAUUGCUCUGCUUUUUCCUGAAACAUAUGAGUUUGAAACAACUAAGGGUAUCUCCAACCUCUCUCCAUUUUUUCUCCAAAAUGGAGUAAAUGUGAAAAUAGAGUAAGGAUUACUCCAACCCAACUCCAAAUCUCACUCCAUAAUAGAGUUUACUCCAUAAAUGAAGUAAUCUUUUUUUUUGUUUGAGUAAAAAAUGAAAUAGGGUUAGAGUAUUUUUUUACUCAAUUUUUACUUUUACUCUAUUUUAGAAAAAAAAAUGGAGUAUUACAUUGGAGAUGCUCUAAAACUACCUCUUAUAGACAUUUUUAUGAGUGAAGUGGUAGAUGAGUGCUAGCUAUCAAGGGUGUAAAUAAGGAGAGUGCAAUUGGCAUAAAAGUUAGAAAACAGUUUAAUGGCAUCUUCAAUCAUACUCUAUUUUUUAUUCUAAACAUCAUUUUAGAGUAAAAUAUGUUUAACGUUAAAAUAGAGUAAUGGCUAGGAUUACUCUAUUUAUGGAGUAAUUCUACAUAUUAGAGCAUCUCCAAUGUACAACUCCAUUUUUCCUUCAAAAUGAAAUAUGAAGUAAAAAUACUUCAAUCCUACUUCAUUUUCUACUCUAUAAUGGAGUCAUAAACAAAAAAAUAUGGAGUAAAUCUCAUUAUAGAAUGUGAAGUGUAAUAGGGUUGGAGUACUAUUUACUUCAUACUUUCUUUUACUCUAUUUUGGAAGAAUAAAUUGUGUUGAGUUGGAUUGAAAUUUUUUUAUUUAUAGAAUGGUCCUUUGAACUUUUUUUAUUUCAUACUUAAAUAAUAUUCAAAAAAAAUAAUAUAAUUUUUCAUAAGAGAUUAUCUAAUAAUUUUAAAUAAAAGUUGCAUAAACUAAUAAAAAUACUAAAACUAAACAUUAAAAUAUAAAAUAAAAAUAUAACAUAAAAUAAGUAAUUUAAUAAUCUGGUAUACCAUUUUUGGAAUUGCCAUAAUCGGUGAAGCAUUGCCCAAACAAAAAAAAAUGUUUGAUUUUAAAAUUUUCUUGCCCAGUUUAAGAAAAUCAUGGAUAAAGAAACUCAUUAUUCAUUCUGAAAUGCACUAGUUGAACAUUUGCGAGAGAAAAAUAUUCUAAUACUCAGUUAUUGAAGCAAAAUAUUUAUCUUAUGUAUAUUUUUAUGAUUUAUUGUAUUUUUAAUAAUAAAUAUUUAAUUUAAAUAAAUUACAUGUUGUGGAUGUUUAAUAAACAUAAGAUAUUUAGGGUUAAUUGGUAAGUUUUUGUAAAUAUAAAGUGUUAGUAAUAAUUAUUAAUUAACCAAAAAUAAUUUUUCUUAAAAUAUUCAUUUUUGGAGUGAAAAAUAAAGUAAUAUAUUGGAAUAAAAUCCUACUCUUUUUAGUGUUAUUGAGUAAAAUAUAGAGUAAUCGUUGGAGAUGCUCUAAAUCAACAACAUCGUCUUCUUCUUCACCAGCCUAAACUACUCACUACCAACAAAUUUCAAGAUGAUGUCCCCAAGUAAACUUAUCAGUGCUAAUGAUACACCAUAAUAAAACCAAAAGGGUAGAGGACAACUAAGGUCCACUUUUUCAUACCUAGCCCUGCACAUUCAUAGCACAAGCAGAACGUACCAAUAUGCUUACCACUCCUAGUAACAUCCAUAUGUAAGUUUAGCAUUUACGGCUCCAGCCACUUGUUUAUUUAGGCUUCAAAUGGU
rnacentral:lncRNA from 1 species